AUACGUUCCAGCCCCAGAAGAUGGGGAACUGCCUCAAAUCCCCCACCUCGGACGACACCUCUUUGCUUCACGAGUCUCAGUCCGAACGGGCUACCUUUGGCAAGGGGACGGAGCCGGAUCAGGAGCCGCCGCAACCAUAUGAGGAACAAGUUUCAGUUCCAGUCUAUCAUCCAACACCUAGCCAGACUCGGCUAGCAACCCAACUGACUGAAGAGGAACAAAUUAGGAUAGCUCAAAGAAUAGGCCUUAUUCAGCACCUGCCUAAAGGAGUUUAUGACCCUGGAAGAGAUGGAUCAGAGAAAAAGAUCCGAGAGUGUGUGAUCUGUAUGAUGGACUUUGUUUAUGGGGACCCAAUUCAAUUUCUGUCGUGCAUGCACAUCUAUCACCUGGACUGUAUAGAUGACUGGUUGAUGAGAUCCUUCACGUGCCCCUCCUGCAUGGAGCCAGUUGAUGCAGCACUGCUUUCAUCCUAUGAGACUAAUUGAGCCAGGGUCUCGUCUGACUUCAGGUGAACCAUCAUUUUUGGGUGGUUUUGAUCUUUUGUCAUUGAGGCCAAAGAGCCACGGAUUAGGAAUUAAGAUCAUGCACAAAAGUUUCCUAAAAAUUCCUGGAUGGCUGCAGAUGUUGGGGGAAAGUAUGUGAUUAUUUUAGAAACUUAGUGGGAAAAGUAGGAUGGUAUUUUUAUGUAAAGCCUUGACCCAGUGUUUAAAAAUAUAAUUGUAUUUAGAUCUUGUUAUUGCUCCAGUACAUAGGAAUUGUGUAAAGUGUUACAGCAGCUGUAUAUGUUUAAAUUGUGUGUGUUGAAGAUUAGGAAAAGAUAGUGGUUAUUUUUCCUAAAUGAAAUAACUUUUUUCUUCACCCCCCCCCCACCAAAAUUCUUUUCUGAAGUUGCUGGCAUUUGGGUCAAGGUUUUAUUAAAAGCUACAUUUUAUAACACUGGCACAAAAAAGUAGUUUUAAGCUUGUUUGCACAGUUCUUUUUUUCCACUGGAAAUGGAAUUCAUUGCCUUAGGUCUUUUUAAAUAGUGUAUUAUUAUCGUUGGGGCUGGCUCUAUGCUUGAAAACCAGUUUAUUUAUAACCUGUUAUAAGUGCUAUAUUCCGUUUGCAGUUAGGAAAUGCAGAAUUCAAAGUGAUCUCCUAGCUUGUAAGCAAACUGAGAUGCACUAUCCCUUUUCUAUAAAAAAAAAAUGAGUUAAUGUGUCAAGAAACCAACUCUAGUAAAGUGGGGUUUAAUAUUACCCUUUCCUGUGUGUUUUAUCUAAUUAUUUUGGUUGUUAAUAUGGUGAUAAUUGAAAGUCAAGAUAAAUUUUAAAUAUUAAGAAUUCUGAUUUAUUGAGCUUGAAUUACGCCACCAUGUUUAUGUGCAAAAUGAGGGUAGCACCAUGGUGAAACUUAAAGAGAAGCAGCUUCUCAGUUGUAACAAUUUUGAUUUAUUCUCUUUCCUGUGACCUCCUGCCCUCUUAUCUUGAACCAUAGCAAAAGGAUACUGCAUCUUGCAUUACUGUAGUGCUAAGGUUAUUGAAGUUAUAUAAAACACAUCUCAGUCUCUGUUUCUUUGAAAGGUAUCUAUUAAGUCCUGCUAGCUUACUGACAAGACUAAGCAGUAAGAAUAAAGAUAAAUGUGUUUCAUGUUUUGCACACAAAUGCAGAAUUUGUAUAACCACAUGACUUCAUAAUUGUGAUCUCAAAGAAGGAAUUUCUCCUUUAUCUUUCUCUUGCAGUUACUAUAAGAAUACUUUAAAUCUCUAAGCUUCUGAAGUGUUAGAGGUAGAGCUGGUUUAGUAAAGAUGUAGUAGUAAUGUUUUAUCCAUUUAGCAUGUGUUGAUUUUUCCUUAUGUACUCAAAGGUGACUUAUUUGUUCAGCUCAGUGAUAUUAUAGCUAAAAAUCAUUCAUUAGCAAAAGGAGAAGCAAUCUCAACCUAACAAAUCAGAAGUGUUUCUUCUCAUUAUUUUAUAUUGAGUUGGAUAUUUGACUCUAAUGCUUUUCUACAUCAUACAAAAUUCAAGUAUUGUGAAGGUUUGUCAUAAUUGCAUUAUAGAGGUAUUUAGUACGUCAUAAGUGCUUUUGUGAAGAUUUGAUAUUCAACAGUAGUAUCCAUAUGUUGGUUAAUUUUCUUCUGAGCCCCAUAAUGGAAAGACUUCAAGAUAAAUUUGGAAGAAAUUAAUUAUCAAGUUCUGUUAAAUUGUUACAUGUAUCUUGCUUAAAUUUCUGUUUAUUAAUUUAUAUCCACCCAAUUACAUAAAGCAAAUUUGGAGGAAAAAA